rnacentral:rRNA from 1 species
GACGAACGCUGGCGGCGUGCUUAACACAUGCAAGUCGAACGGAAAGGCCCUGCUUGCAGGGUACUCGAGUGGCGAACGGGUGAGUAACACGUGGGUGAUCUGCCCUGCACUUCGGGAUAAGCUUGGGAAACUGGGUCUAAUACCGGAUAGGAACCAUCUUUAGUGUGGUGGUUGGAAAGUUUUUUCGGUGUAGGAUGAGCUCGCGGCCUAUCAGCUUGUUGGUGGGGUAAUGGCCUACCAAGGCGGCGACGGGUAGCCGGCCUGAGAGGGUGUACGGCCACAUUGGGACUGAGAUACGGCCCAGACUCCUACGGGAGGCAGCAGUGAGGAAUAUUGCACAAUGGGCGCAAGCCUGAUGCAGCGACGCCGCGUGGGGAUGAAGGCCUUCGGGUUGUAAACUCCUUUCGCUAGGGACGAAGCUUUUUGUGACGGUACCUAGAUAAGAAGCACCGGCUAACUACGUG